rnacentral:rRNA from 1 species
UUCUGGUUGAUCCUGCCGGACCUGACUGCUAUCGGAUUGAUACUAAGCCAUGCGAGUCAUUGUAGCAAUACAAGGCAUACGGCUCAGUAACGCGUAGUCAACCUAACCUAUGGACGGGAAUAACCUCGGGAAACUGAGAAUAAUGCCCGAUAGAACAUUAUGCCUGGAAUGGUUUAUGUUCCAAAUGAUUUAUCGCCGUAGGAUGGGACUGCGGCCUAUCAGUUUGUUGGUGAGGUAAUGGCCCACCAAGACUAUUACAGGUACGGGCUCUGAGAGGAAUAGCCCGGAGAUGGGUACUGAGACACGGACCCAGGCCCUAUGGGGCGCAGCAGGCGAGAAAACUUUGCAAUGUGCGAAAGCACGACAAGGUUAAUCCGAGUGGUUUCUGCUAAAGAAACCUUUUGUCAGUCCUAGAAACACUGAUGAAUAAGGGGUGGGCAAGUUCUGGUGUCAGCCGCCGCGGUAAAACCAGCACCUCAAGUGGUCAGGAUGAUUAUUGGGCCUAAAGCAUCCGUAGCCGGCUCUGUAAGUUUUCGGUUAAAUCUGUACGCUCAACGUACAGGCUGCCGGGAAUACUGCAGAGCUCGGGAGUGGGAGAGGUAGACGGUACUCGGUAGGAAGGGGUAAAAUCCUUUGAUCUAUUGAUGACCACCUGUGGCGA